GGCACUCAGCUGCUCGCCAACUCCGUUCCCACAGCAGCAGGAAUGUCGCACACUGUCUGAUUACAACUGCAAGUCUUAAAUUUGCAUCUAUCAUAAAGGUAUGACUUAUGGAAAAGUUCAGUGACUGAAAUGUAUUCUUCAUGGGCCAUCUUCACCAGCAAAAUAGAGCAGCUGCCUGAACGAGAAAACCUGCACUCCUGAAAGCAGC
rnacentral:lncRNA from 1 species